UCCCUGGUGGUCCAGUGGUUAGGACUCGGCACUUUCACUGCCGUGACUCAGGUUCAAUCCCUGGACGGGGAA